GACGAACGCUGGCGGCGUGCUUAACACAUGCAAGUCGAACGGUAAGGCCCUUCGGGGUCCACGAGUGGCGAACGGGUGAGUAACACGUGGGUAAUCUGCCCUGCACAUCGGGAUAAGCCUGGGAAACUGGGUCUAAUACCGAAUAGGACCACAGGACACAUGUCCUGUGGUGGAAAGCUUUUGCGGUGUGGGAUGGGCCCGCGGCCUAUCAGCUUGUUGGUGGGGUGAUGGCCUACCAAGGCGACGACGGGUAGCCGGCCUGAGAGGGUGUCCGGCCACACUGGGACUGAGAUACGGCCCAGACUCCUACGGGAGGCAGCAGUGGGGAAUAUUGCACAAUGGGCGAAAGCCUGAUGCAGCGACGCCGCGUGGGGGAUGACGGCCUUCGGGUUGUAAACCUCUUUCACCAUCGACGAAGGUCCGGGUUUUCUCGGGCUGACGGUAGGUGGAGAAGAAGCACCGGCCAACUACGUG
rnacentral:rRNA from 1 species